AGAGUUUGAUCCUGGCUCAGGAUGAACGCUGGCGGCGUGCUUAACACAUGCAAGUCGAGCGAAGCGCUUUGGAAAGAUUCUUCGGAUGAUUUCCUUUGUGACUGAGCGGCGGACGGGUGAGUAACGCGUGGGUAACCUGCCUCAUACAGGGGGAUAACAGUUAGAAAUGACUGCUAAUACCGCAUAAGACCACGGUACCGCAUGGUACAGUGGUAAAAACUCCGGUGGUAUGAGAUGGACCCGCGUCUGAUUAGGUAGUUGGUGGGGUAACGGCCUACCAAGCCGACGAUCAGUAGCCGACCUGAGAGGGUGACCGGCCACAUUGGGACUGAGACACGGCCCAGACUCCUACGGGAGGCAGCAGUGGGGAAUAUUGCACAAUGGAGGAAACUCUGAUGCAGCGACGCCGCGUGAAGGAUGAAGUAUUUCGGUAUGUAAACUUCUAUCAGCAGGGAAGAAAAUGACGGUACCUGACUAAGAAGCCCCGGCUAACUACGUGCCAGCAGCCGCGGU
rnacentral:rRNA from 1 species